GUUGACCUCGGAUCAGGUAGGGAUACCCGCUGAACUUAAGCAUAUCAAUAAGCGGAGGAAAAGAAACCAACAGGGAUUGCCUCAGUAACGGCGAGUGAAGCGGCAACAGCUCAAAUUUGAAAUCUGGCUCUUUCAGGGUCCGAGUUGUAAUUUGUAGAGGAUGCUUCGGGCGUGGCGCGGGUCUAAGUUCCUUGGAACAGGACGUCGUA
rnacentral:rRNA from 1 species